rnacentral:lncRNA from 1 species
UCCCCUUUCCUACUAUCGAUGAAUUGCUCGAUGAAUUAGGCUCACCUACAGUUUUCACUAAGAUUGAUUUAUACUCAAGGUAUCAUCAAAUUCGACUCACCCCUGAUGACACUCACAAAUCAACAUUUAGAACCAUUGAUGGACAUUAUGAAUUUUUAGUCAUGCCUUUUGGCUUGACUAAUGGACCCUCCACUUUUCAGGCAGCCAUGAAUUGAUGGAAAAUGUGCCUUCAUGACUGAAUUCUUUUCUUGGAUUUUGGAAAGGAUUGGCGAAAGCUUCAAUGGAAGAGAUGAACAAGGAUGGCUCAUAUAGAUCUAUGGUUUCCUUGAAGGUGCAUGAUAGGGACAACGAUUGGUUGGGCCAUAUCACUUGAGCUAGGUGAAGAAGAAGAUUAAGCUGUUUAUCCUAAAGAGGUAAAAUAAGGGAGUGAGAAAGGCUAGUAACUUUGGCAGCAAUUUCACUCAUUCAUUAAUCUUCGAAAAUGAGAGCCAAGCACCUCAAUUUAUAGGAGAGAGGGUUGAAAAUUUUGGAGCAAAAAUUUGAAAAUUCAAAAUAAAACUCUUCAAUGAGAAGGUGCCAUGUGGAGUCAUGCUUUCCAUGUUGACCUCACACCUUCCAUGCUAAAUCCUCUCCAGUCCUAGGCUUCCAUCUGGACAUCCAUGUGCUCCAUGCCAAUGUAAUUUUUAUCCUCCAAUAUACCCUAGAUGUUUUAGGGUUACAUUGGGCUCAAAGAAGCCCAAUUGUUACCCUAACUAGUCACUUUUAACCCUAACUAUACCUAUUUUACUAUUGGUCCAAAUACAAGCCCAAAAACCUAUGCUACUUGGCCCAAAUAUUUGGUCCAAUUAUUUUAUGCUACUAGGCCCAAUACAUGGCGCAUGAAAUCCUAAACAACUUUAUAAAAUUUAUUUAAGUUAAAGUUUGACCCAAAAAUAAUGUUGUCUAGUCAGCAGAAACUCAGUCUUCUUAUGUUCUUCUGACCAAAGCUCUAGUUUAUGUUUUCAUGAGUUGGAGGUCUUCUUGGAUAUGUUUCUACAUUCCUUCACCCUAGAGUUGUCCUCUUGAUUGGGCCUACAAAAAUAAACAAAAGCCCAAUUAGACCCAUAUUUGCAAUUAAAUCAAUAAACAAUUACUAGGUAUCCUUAUUAUGUGGUUAUGUGUGGCUGGGGGCUAUGCCAUCAUGAAAGACCUUCUUAGACCCUAUUUACGACGAUUUUUCCUAGUUUUUUUUUUAUAUUUUGAUUUAUAGUCCCAGUUUGAAGGAUCAUAUUGUGCACUUACAGAUUAUCUUAAAAGUUUUACACACUAAGAAUUUUUUUGCUGUUAUCUAAGUACAAUUUUGCCACUUCUCAAGUAAGUUAUUUGGGUCAUAUCAUUUCGGCUAAAGGAGUAACCCCUGAUCCAAAAAAAUUUACUGCCAUACACAAUUGGCAAUAGCCAUGUCACUCAUGAAAUUGCGUGGUUUCCUUGGUCUCACAUGAUUUUAUAGAAAGUUUGUCUAUCACUAUGUCACUCUCGCUGCUCCUCUCUCCGACUUAUUACAUAACCAAAAAUUUACUUGGAAUGUCUCGGCUUAGGAGGCCUAUACAAAAUUAAAAUUACAAAUAUCUAAAGUUCUUACACUACACCUACCAUACUUCACCCUGCCAUUUUUUGUGGAGACAAACGUGUCUGCAGUAGCCGUGGGGGUCGUGCUCAGCCAAAAGGGGCACCCGUUAUCCUUCUUCAGCAAGAAGAUGUGUCCAAGGCUCCAAGCAUCAUCAGUGUAUGUCCAAGAGAUGUAUGCAAUCACAGAAGCAAUUAAGAAAUGGCGUCAGUGCUUGUUAGGCUAACACUUCAAAAUAAUCACAGACCAAAAAAGUUUAAAUACACUUCAGUCUCAAACAAUCCAAACUCCAAAACAACAAAAAUGGACAUCAAAGUUACAAGGAUAUGAUUUCCAAAUACUAUACCAACUAUUAAACAAAAUGUGGUUGUAGAUGCUCUCUCACACCAAGACACAGGUACACCUUCAAUAUUGUUUGCAUUAUCAUAGUCAAUUCCAUUGUUGUUUGAAGAGUUACACAAAUUUUAUUCCACCAUAAAAGGCACAAAUUACUCGACGCUUGCACUAAAGAACAACAAAAACCAGUGUCUUCUCGAUCUGUCAUAGUCUACUUUUCUUUUGUCAGCAAGUGUUUCUUCCCGCCACCAAGAAUUUCAAAAACCGCAUCCUCUAAGAAUUGCAUGAAUAUCCCACAGCUGGUCAUUUCAGCAUUAAACCCACUCUUGAUCGCAUUGCCGUUGCAUUCUACUGGCCAGAGUGGACUAGAGAUGUCAAGAACUACGUUCAACAAUGUCCCACGUGUCAACGUAAUGAGUAUCUGCCAACAAAACCCCAAGGAUUACUGAUGGAGAUCAAAAUGUCAAAGAAUCAUCUAUAUCUUGCUAUUGGAAUCAUAUCAAUUACUCCAACCAUUCACAUUACCAUAUCAAGUGUGGGAAGAUUUAUUAAUGGAUUUUAGAACGCACUUACCAACCUCAGCAGGUCACUCUGUCAUAUGGGUUAUCUAUGACUGCCUCACGAAGUAUGCUCACUUUGUGGCCCUACCCACACAGUUCAAUACCCAACAAGUUGCCUAGCAAUUCUCAGUAGAGAUUUGUCGUCUUCAUGGGCUUCCAAAAACCAUUGUCUUAGAUCGAGAUCCCUUAUUUUGUCUGCACAUUCUAGAAACACCUAUUCAAAGCACAAGGCACACAUUAAAAUUUAUUUCCUCUUACCAUCCGCAAACAGAAGUCCUUAAUUAGAGUUUGGAAGCCUACCUGCGAUGCUUUGCUGGAGAUCACCCUCACACUUGGUUCUAAUAUCUCCAUCUAGCGGAGCUUUGGCACAGUACGACACAUCAUUCCACCAUUGGCACCUCACCGUUCCAUGCUUUAUACGGAAGACAACCUCCCACCACCUUAGAUUUGUUACACAUUCCACGCUCAGGAACCACCAUUGCAGAAUUGUUGCACCAACACCCGCUGGUUCUCCACACCUUCAAACAAACCCUUCGCUGAACACGUCAACGAAUGUGCGACCAGGCUAACUGCCACUGAUUCGAACGUUCUUUUAACCUAGAUGAUUGGGUAUAGGUACGUCUUCAACCUUACCGCCAUCAGUCGGUGGAGUGCCGUCCAUGUUCAAAACUCGACCCUUGAUACUCGAGUCCUUAUCAAGUGCUUCGCCGGAUCGGUGUUGUUGCCUACAAGCUUCAUUUGCCAGCCACCUCAUGAGUACACCCAGUCUUCCAUGUCUCCCUCAUCCAUGCUUUCAAAGGACCACAUGUGGCCACUGAACUUAACUCACCCUCUCACGUGGAUUCUAAGUCUCAAAAACUUUCGAAUCCGCAAUUAAUUCACUCACCUAACUCUCAAAGAUUUUCAAAUGCCCAACCAAUUCACGCACCUAAUUCUAAAGAACUUUCAAAACCAC